UACGAAGGGUGCAAGCGUUACUCGGAAUUACUGGGCGUAAAGCGUGCGUAGGUGGUUUGUUAAGUCUGUUGUGAAAGCCCCGGGCUCAACCUGGGAAUGGCAAUGGAUACUGGCAGGCUAGAGUGCGGUAGAGGGUAGUGGAAUUUCCGGUGUAGCGGUGAAAUGCGUAGAUAUCGGAAGGAACACCUGUGGCGAAGGCGGUGGUCUGGGCCGGAACUGACGCUGAGGAGCGAAAGCGUGGGGAGGCGAACAG
rnacentral:rRNA from 1 species